rnacentral:snoRNA from 1 species
UCACAAUGAUGAAUGGUCCAAACAUUCGCGGUUUCCACCAGAAUUUUAGAUGUUGGUAACUUACCUUCCUUGGAUGUCUGAGUGA